rnacentral:rRNA from 1 species
CCAGACUCCUACGGGAGGCAGCAGUGAGGAAUAUUGGUCAAUGGCCGGAAGGCUGAACCAGCCAAGCCGCGUGAAGGACGAAGGUGCCAAGCAUUGUAAACUUCUUUUGUCAAGGGACAAAAUCAGGCUCGAGAGCCUGACCGAGGGUACUUGAAGAAAAAGCAUCGGCUAACUCCGUGCCAGCAGCCGCGGUAAUACGGAGGAUGCGAGCGUUAUCCGGAUUUAUUGGGUUUAAAGGGUGCGUAGGCGGACUGUUAAGGCGGCGUAAAAACCCGGGGCCCCACCCCCGGCGAGCCGUUGAAACUGGCUGUCUUGAGAUGUCGAGAGGUAUGCGGAAUGCGCAGUGUAGCGGUGAAAUGCUUAGAUAUCACGCAGAACGCCGAUUGCGAAGGCAGCAUACCGGCGCCCAACUGACGCUGAGGCACGAAAGCGUGGGGAUCGAACAGGAUUAGAUACCCUGGUA